rnacentral:rRNA from 1 species
AUAAAUAAAUUUUAAUCCAACAUCGAGGUCGCAAACUUUUUUAUCGAUAAGAACUCUCCAAAAAAAUUACGCUGUUAUCCCUAAGGUAAUUUUAUCUUUUAAUCACUUAUAUGGAUCAUUUAAACAUAAAUAAAUGAAAUAAUAAAAAAAAAAGUUAAGUAAAUUUCUCCAUCACCCCAACAAAAUAAUUUUAUAUAUAUUAUAAAAUAAAAAUUCCUCAAUUUAAAAUUUAUAAAACUAUUAAACUCUAUAGGGUCUUCUCGUCUUUUAACAUUAUCUAAGCUUUUUAACUUAAAAAUAAAAUUCAUUAAAAUUUAAAUUAAGACAGUUACUUUCUCAUCAGACCCUUCAUACAAGCUUCUAAUUAAGAAACUAAUGAUUAUGCUACCUUUGUACAGUCAAAAUACUGCAGCUAUUUAAUUUUCAUUGAGCAGGCCAGACUUUAAAUUUAAUACAAAAAGAC